rnacentral:rRNA from 1 species
CCUACGGGAGGCAGCAGUGGGGAAUAUUGCACAAUGGGGGAAACCCUGAUGCAGCGACGCCGCGUGAGUGAAGAAGUAAUUCGUUAUGUAAAGCUCUAUCAGCAGGGAAGAAAAUGACGGUACCUGAGUAAGAAGCCCCGGCUAACUACGUCCCAGCAGCCGCGGUACUACGUAGGGGGCAAGCGUUAUCCGGAUUUACUGGGUGUAAAGGGAGCGUAGACGGCAGUGCAAGUCUGGAGUGAAAGGCGGGGGCUCAACCCCCGGACUGCUCUGGAAACUGUACGGCUGGAGUGCAGGAGAGGUAAGUGGAAUUCCUAGUGUAGCGGUGAAAUGCGUAGAUAUUAGGAGGAACACCAGUGGCGAAGGCGGCUUACUGGACUGUAACUGACGUUGAGGCUCGAAAGCGUGGGGAGCAAACAGGAUUAGAUACCCUUGUAGUC